GACGUAGGGCGCGAGCGUUGUCCGGAUUUAUUGGGCGUAAAGAGCUCGUAGGCGGCUUGUCGCGUCGACCGUGAAAACUUGGGGCUCAACCCCAAGCCUGCGGUCGAUACGGGCAGGCUCGAGUUCGGUAGGGGAGACUGGAAUUCCUGGUGUAGCGGUGAAAUGCGCAGAUAUCAGGAGGAACACCGGUGGCGAAGGCGGGUCUCUGGGCCGAUAUUGACGCUGAGGAGCGAAAGCGUGGGGAGCGAACAGG
rnacentral:rRNA from 1 species